rnacentral:lncRNA from 1 species
UAAAACCAAAAACACCUACUUUGUGCAACAUGGCCUUUUUCAAUGGGAAAAAUUAUUAGCACAAACAUAGUUUAGAUGUUACAUGUUACAUAAGACUUGAGCUUGAGCAACUAUCCUGCUAUAGGUAUAUAAAUUUCCUAAUUUUAAUCACAACAGCAGACAAGAACCUUCCUAAAGGGCAAACUCCCUUAUGCUGUGUUGUCCUUUCAUCUAUUUCAAAAUUUAACUUGUGCACAUGGGCACUGAAACAUUUUAUCAAUGCACAAUAAAAUAUUAAACACACACAAUAGUCUAGUUGGGAAUCCAAAUGCUUGACUUUCACACAUCAACAUACACCCAAAUCAUAGAACGGUUGUUCUGUCCGGAAAUGGAAAGAACAUCAACAAGUGACAUGCUCCAUCCACCCUUUGGACUGCUCUUCUCCUCAUGCCUCCCCUUCAAUCACUCACCAUAUUAAUAACACCUAAAUACGAAAACCACUUAUGAAUUAUACUGGCAUGCAAAACAUUGUAUACCGUGAAGCAUAGCAAUGCCACUAAGUAAGAUGGGAAUAGUGAUAUAAUUAGUUCAGGUUGCAGCCAUCGAAAGCAUACCGAUAACACGAAGAUAAACUAACAAUAAAUAUAUCAAUGCAUGUUCAUGACUGAAUUCACUCUAUUUCAGCAAGAAGUAAGAAAAUGUAACCACCUUAAGUAAAAAAUUAGAAUGAGCAAAAGCAUUAAUAUCCAUAAUACACACAUGUACUUUGAAGGUGAUUGUGUCUCAUGUAGCACCAAGGCCCGAACCACUAUGAUACUUACCAAAUUUCUUGAGCAUCUAAAUUUAAAGUAGCAAAGAAGAAAAUAAAAAAUUCUAAGUGAGAACAAUAGUAAUGCUUGACAAACAGUACCGUAUAUGGAAGUUGAUACACAAGAAAAGCUAGAAAACAAUAGAUCAAAUUGAAAAAUAAUGAUGCUAAUAAAAAAUUCAUGGACUUUUAUCAGCACAACCUGUUCCCCUAGCAACCACACGGAGUCAUCAAGCUGCAUUGGUUAAGGUGGGCCACAUGGUCCAAGCUUAGAAUUAUGAACCUGAGGGCAGCCUAUGGCUAGCAGAACAACAACAGUUGAUGCAAGGCCAUCAAUUUUGAUUGUUAAACUGGUUAGUUCAACACAAAAAAUUAGUAAUAUGAUGUUAAUCCAUGACAAAGUGAGGAGAAUAAAAUAGGCAAGGUGAUAACACGAUGCAAGGAUCGGACGACCGAACUGGCACAAUUGACCGAAAUGAGCAAGAUCGAACGGCCAACAAAGAUCCAAAUCAGGGGAGAGCUGUUAGGUAUAAAAUUGCUUUCCCUGGCUCAUAUAAAAUUAGAUACCCAGGUUGUUCACCAGCUCGUCGAAACAAUGGCCUAAAAUUAAAAGCUCUUUCUUAUGAGCCUGGACAAUUGUUUCUUCUCUCAGCCACUAAAAAUGGUUUAGAACAUGAUGUUGACAUGCUGCAACAUUACAUUGUUUUCCCAGUGUGCCAAGAUUGUCUAGCCCAUGCAUGCUAGUUAGCCCGACAAAGUAAAUUUUUGUUUCGGUACCAAACACCUAUCCUUACCCAGCGAAGACCAGUAGUUUGUUUGCUUUGGAAAUAAAUACGCCCUAAAUCAUCAUGCAUAAACUGGUUGAGUUAUGGAUGUGCCGAAUGAAAGGUUUAGCUAAAUACAUUACUAUAACACAGUAGUUCUGAAAUUAUUACAUGGAGUAAGCAUGCUAAC